rnacentral:tRNA from 1 species
GGACUGGUUAGCUCAGUCAGAGUGUGGUGCUGAUAACACCAAGGCUGCAGGUUCAAUCCCUGCUCGGUCCU